rnacentral:rRNA from 1 species
UACGGGGGGGGGCAAGCGUUGUUCGGAAUUACUGGGCGUAAAGGGCUCGUAGGCGGCCAACUAAGUCAGACGUGAAAUCCCUCGGCUUAACCGGGGAACUGCGUCUGAUACUGGAUGGCUUGAGUUUGGGAGAGGGAUGCGGAAUUCCAGGUGUAGCGGUGAAAUGCGUAGAUAUCAGGAGGAACACCGAUGGCGAAGGCAGGUCUCUGGGCCUGUACUGACGCUGAGGAACGAAAGCGUGGGGAGCGAACAGG